rnacentral:rRNA from 1 species
UGAGGAAUAUUGGUCAAUGGCCGGAAGGCUGAACCAGCCAAGUCGCGUGAGGGAAUAAGGCCCUACGGGUCGUAAACCUCUUUUGCCAGGGAGCAAUGCCGUCCACGUGUGGACGGAAGGAGAGUACCUGGAGAAAAAGCAUCGGCUAACUCCGUGCCAGCAGCCGCGGUAAUACGGAGGAUGCGAGCGUUAUCCGGAUUUAUUGGGUUUAAAGGGUGCGUAGGCGGCCUGCCAAGUCAGCGGUAAAAUUGCGGGGCUCAACCCCGUACAGCCGUUGAAACUGCCGGGCUCGAGUGGGCGAGAAGUAUGCGGAAUGCGUGGUGUAGCGGUGAAAUGCAUAGAUAUCACGCAGAACCCCGAUUGCGAAGGCAGCAUACCGGCGCCCGACUGACGCUGAGGCACGAAAGUGCGGGGAUCAAACAGG